AGUUAUUUAGCUUAUAUAAAAGCAAAUAUUUUGAAAAUAUUAGAAAGAGAAAUUUAAUAACUU
rnacentral:tRNA from 1 species